rnacentral:sRNA from 1 species
UUUUCCGGUCGGCGUGGUCUUGCGAGUGGAGUGUCCGCUGUGCCAGGGCCUUCACCAUGAGCGUCCCGGCCUUCAUCGACAUCAGUGAGGAAGAUCAGGCUGCUGAGCUUCGUGCUUAUCUGAAAUCUAAAGGAGCUGAGAUUUCAGAAGAGAACUCGGAAGGUGGACUUCAUAUUGAUUUAGCUCAAAUUAUUGAAGCCUGUGAUGUGUGUCUGAAGGAGGAUGAUAAAGAUGUUGAAAGCGUGAUGAACAGUGUGGUAUCCCUACUCUUGAUCCUGGAACCAGACAAGCAAGAAGCUUUGAUUGAAAGUCUAUGUGAAAAGCUGGUCAAAUUUCGCGAAGGUGAACGCCCAUCUCUGAGACUUCAGUUGUAAGUUAAGAUCUGAAAGAAACUCAGUUUUUCAAGGUGCUUUUUUCAUGUUACUAACUUUUAAUGGUGCAGAGCAGGAAUUGUGGAACUUGACUCUCAGCUGUGGCUCUUAUUAGCUGUGACCUUGGGCAAGUGGCUUGACCUUUCUGUGCCCUAGUUUCCUCCUUUGUAAUAUGAAGUUGUUAACGGUACCUG